rnacentral:rRNA from 1 species
CUACGGGCGGCUGCAGUGGGGAAUAUUGCACAAUGGACGAAAGUCUGAUGCAGCAACGCCGCGUGGAGGAUGACACAUUUCGGUGCGUAAACUCCUUUUAUAUAGGAAGAUAAUGACGGUACUAUAUGAAUAAGCACCGGCUAACUCCGUGCCAGCAGCCGCGGUAAUACGGAGGGUGCAAGCGUUACUCGGAAUCACUGGGCGUAAAGAGCGUGUAGGCGGGUUAAUAAGUUGGAAGUGAAAUCCUAUGGCUCAACCAUAGAACUGCUUCCAAAACUGUUAACCUAGAAUAUGGGAGAGGUAGAUGGAAUUUCUGGUGUAGGGGUAAAAUCCGUAGAGAUCAGAAGGAAUACCGAUUGCGAAGGCGAUCUACUGGAACAUUAUUGACGCUGAGACGCGAAAGCGUGGGGAGCAAACAGGAUUAGAUACCCGUGUAGUC